rnacentral:rRNA from 1 species
GUCUGCAGCCAUACCACCCUGAAUGCACCUGAUCUCGUCUGAUCUUGGAAGCUAAACAGGGUCAGGCCUGGUUAGUACUUGGAUGGAAGACCCCAGUCUCAGGCAUGAGGUCUCUGAUG